GGAUGGUGACGAUUUCUAUGUAAUUAAGGUCUCGUUCGUCGUAUUUGGCCUAAUCGGUCAUGCCGACCACCCAUAUUCCGAGUCC